rnacentral:lncRNA from 1 species
AUGCUGGAUACUCGAUCCUGCCCAGCUGCAGGCAGGGAGGCAAAUACAAGGUCACUAAUCAGGCUGCCAAUGAGAGCCCCCCUGAACUUGUGCGUGGACAGACUAAACAGAAACACACGUGAUUCCUGUUGUCCAUCAGUCAGCUUCAACCCGCUCAGAUGUGUUGCUUGUCUUGAUCAUAUGAGUUGACUGAUGAAUUAGUGAUGCAUGAACAACUAGCACCUCUGGGUGACCACAUGCUAGGCAUCACUGAACCCAUAGCUGCUAGCUUUCUGUUCCGGCUGCUGUCUUCUAGUAAUCAAGCUAAGUCCCCUGCACUGAGAAGCCUCCCUCACCCUGUAAAGUCCCAGAGACGUUUUACCCUGGGCUUUGGGGUUUCAUGACAGAAGUCCCACACACAUCACAGCAUAUGAAAUGGUAUGAACCUUUUAAAUUUUUUAUUUUUGCUCAAACUGGAUCUCAGGUAGUUCAAGGACUCCUCAAACUUGAUGGCUGGCUUUGUUCCUGCUCGCUCCUGCUUCCACUUCCCAGCUGCUAGGAUGGAAGGGCUAUGUCACCACUCUCGCAAUCUGUGCAGUUUAAUAACAGAAGGUUCCCUACAAUCCUCGGUCUUUAGCUGCAACCCUGUAAGAUCCAAGCAUGACCCCCAGGUAUCGUCUGGUCACACUGUCCAGAAGCUGUUAGAUGCCCUUUGGUCCUUUAACAGGCUGGAUCGAGGGUUCUACUCAAGGUUGUGCAGUUGGGAAGUGCGGGUGCGGGGACGAGGGGCCCGGCUGCCUCGCUCACCUGUGUCAGGUCUGUGGACUCAGGUUCCAGCAUGCCACCACUAUGGUUUCCAGGCGCCAGGAUGCACACUCGGCCUGAAGCUCUCCUCGGGGCACGGCGUAGCAGGCCCGCGCAGAUUUUGCGGAAACCUUUGCGGAAAUGCUUGGAGACCAGAGCAUAAACGAUGGGGUUGACACACGAGUUGGCAUAAGAUACUAGAUGUGAAAGGAUGCGCAGGGCGUAAGUGGCACGCGUGAGCGGAAAGCGACCAAACCACACGCAGAGGAUAAGCGCGUGGUGGGGCAUCCAACAGAGGCAGAAGAGUACCGCCACGAUGACGAUCAUCCGUGUCACCUUGCGCUUGGCGCGCUGGGAACCUGAGCCUGCAGCUACUGGGUCAACUGUGCGCCAGAGGUAGUGCAGGGUGCGCGCAUAGGUCAGGCUGAGCACCAGCACUGGCAACAGGUAGCUAAAGACAAAAGUGCAGAGGUCCAUGGCGCGACGUCGUGGUGCGCUCCACGCUGGGUGGCACACCGUCAGAUUGGCCAGCUGCGACUGACUGUAGUAGCUCAGGUAGGGCCCGGAGAAGAGCAGUGCUAGCCCCCAGAUGAGCCCGAUGGCCGCCAGCGCGUUUCGAGGUGUGCGCAACUCUCGGGAGUGCAGCGGGUAGCGGAUGGCCAGAUACCUGAGUGGACAGUGGGGCGGGGGGGACGACGACGACAGGUAAGCGAAAGGAUUCACUAAUUCACUGCUAGACCAUUACCAACCCUGAGAAUGUGGCCACUGACCUACCACGCGAAAGGGCAUCCCCAAACCACCGAAAACUAAAAGUUGUAGAAUAUGCCAGGACUUCUGGGGGCAGUGAUUAUUAUCCUCUUGUGACAACCGAGGGAGACAGAUCUCUAAUGCCUGAGGCUCUCUGACAGACAACCCGGAGAAGACUUGGGUAGAGCAAGGAAAUCCCUGAAGAAAGCUGAAGUUUUGUGCGUCCCACCAGCGGACUCAGAACCCACAUGUUGCACUCAGUGGAAAGCAGAGAAUGAGGAUCUCCGCCUCUCUUCACCGCUCUACUGUGGGAAGGGCCAAGUGAUGCGAAGGGGCAGGGAACUAAUGACAUCCUUCCCAGGACCUGUUUCUAGUGUCUUUUCCAGUCACGAGUCCUUCAGAGCAUUCUGGAAGUUUCUCUUUCUGGGUCCUUUAGCUAGGGAAGGAACAUCAAACCGCAGGCGUCUCCGGGCGGGGAGCCUUGGCCUGGAAGGCUUUAGACGUCCGCUAGGAGCCCUCACUCCCGCUGCCUUGGACUUCAGCAUGGGUCUAUCCAAAGUACAGCUCAGUCCUAAGCCUAAAGCCGGACAACGCUCCAGGUGCUGAGCUUGGGGCCAAGAAGCAAAUGCCUCUCUGCAGCUCUCAAUUAGCAUUUGAAUACUGGCAAGUUACUUUGCAAGCCAACUCUGGUCUGAGUACUGCAAUGUUUCUGAGAGACUUUUAGCUCAAGCAACAAUAACGUAAAGACCCCAGAAAUCCGAUUUCUCCAGCCUUCGAGGUCUGAGGACCGACUUAAUCAAGGGACACUCUUAGUCACGGAGUCUUAGUCCCCUUUCCCCUUGCGUUUCACGGCCUCGGGCCACUUUGUAAUUUUAGUGUUCUCCCCGACUACGCAUCCCUUCUGGAUCCUUGCGUGGCGACUCCAGUGCAAGCUCCUACCUGGGUACCCAGUUCUCAGACACCACAGAAUGUUCACUCACCUGUCCAGCGAGACAGCGGCCAGCGUGAAGCUGCUGGCGUGCAUAGUGAGGAAGAUGAGGAAAUGAACGGCCUUGCAGAGCAGUGAGCCAAACACCCAAUCGUCCAGGGUAUAGAUGGUGGCCUGGAAAGGCACGCAGCACAGGAUGAAACACAGGUCGGCCACACCCAGGUUGAGGAUGAAUAGGUUCGUGGUGCUGACCGCCUGGCCGCCGCGCAGCAGCACCGCCAGCACCAGCGCGUUGCCCACAGCGCCCACGAGGAAGAUGAGCGCGAAAAAUAGGGGUACGAGGACCGCCUCGGGCUGCCAGCCGCCGCCACCUUCCUGGCUCGAGUCCUCCGCCCCCUGGCUGUCCGAGCCAUUCAUGGUAUCACCAAAGCAGACGCCGCCCUGGCUCCCGCAGCCGUCCGGGUCUUGGUGAGCGCGUAGCUCCCUGGCUGCAGCGCCCCAGCAAGACUGUCGAGCUCCAAGAGCCAGAGCAGGGGUGCGCGGGGGACGGGAGGAGGAGCGAGCACCCAGAGUAUAGGAUGGUACCCCGCUCCGGCCUGCAGCCGAGAGAGGAGCUGUCGAAUGACCCUGACUCCAUUUGGCUCCCGCGCUCAAGUCCUGGGACCCGCUCUGCUUUAGACUUGAGUCGGUCACUAGCGAGUCACACUGUUCCUGGAUUGGUGGAGGGAGCAGGGUGCGUGUGGGACAUGGGGCGCCUUUAAGAGAUCCAUCCCAUUCUUGGAAUGAGGGGGCUGACACAGAUUACUGGCCCUGUGGUUGGUCACCCCUCAACGCCCCCUUCCCCCAAACACAAAGUGUUAUGGCCAGCCAUAUUUCUAGGCCUCUCCCAUUUCUAAAUCCUUGGAAUACCUCAGCCUGCCACACAAGGAACUCCAGAGACCAACCCAGAAGAGGCAGAAAGGAGGGCGGUUUUUUUUUUUUUUCCUCCUUGUUUUGAGACUGGGUGUUCCUGUGGAGCCAAACUAGCCCAGACUCACCCUUUUGCAUUAGCUUCUGUGGUACUGGGACUUUAGCCAUGCGCCACUAUGUCCGGCCAGAAUGGAAAUUUUCAUCUUUUUUUUUUUUUCAUCUGCUAAGUAUUUUCCCUCCCUCUUAACCCAGAAGUUCGCUGAAUAUGUACUAGUAUCACCUUGUCUGUGACCCUCUCUUCCCUUGUCUGGGAUGGAAUGGUCUGGAAACACUGCCUCAAAGAGGUGUGAGGUAAGAAAUACUAGAAGGGUUGGAGCAAGGCUCAGCGGUUAAGAGCACUUGCUGCUCAUGCAGAGGACCCAGGUUCGGUUUUCAGCACCCACAUGGCAGCUCUCACAGCUGCUUGUAACUCCAGUUCCAGGAGAUCUGGUACCCUCUUCUGCUCCAUGGGCUCCUGAAUAAAUAUGAUGCACAUACACUCACAAAGACCCAUGUGCGCAUGCACGCGCGCGCGCGCGCACACACACACACACACACACACACACACUGAACAAAUAAAUCAAAUAUAGGGAGAUGUAAGACUAGAAACCAGUUUAUUAAUGGAUCAAAUCUAUUAAAGCAUUCAAUCUUUAUUUAAAAGGGGGUGGUGGUGGUGAAAGAUGGUUCAGCAGUUAAGAGCACUGACUGCUCUUCCAGAGGUCCUGAGUUCAAUUCCCAGCAACCACAUGGUGGCUCACAACUAGCUGUAAUGGGAUCCAAUGCCCUCUUCUGGUGUGUCUGAAGACAAAGACAGUGUACUCAUAUAAAAUAACUAAAUAAAUCUUUUUUAAAAAU